rnacentral:rRNA from 1 species
GACGAACGCUGGCGGCGUGCUUAACACAUGCAAGUCGAACGGAAAGGCCCCUCUCGGGGGGUACUCGAGAGGCGAACGCGUGAGUAACACGUGAGUAACAUGCCCUCGACUCUGGGAUAUAUCCCGCAGACUCGGGCUAUUACACGAUAUGAGCUCUUGUUGUCGGGUGGGGGUUGGAAAGUUUCGGCGGUUGGGGAUGGACUCGCGGCUUAUCCGCUUGUUGGUGUGGUAGUGGCUUACCAAGGCUUUGACGGGUAGCCGGCCUGGGAGGGUGAGCGGCCACAUUGGGGCUGAGAUACGGCCCAGACGCCGACGGGGGGCAGCAGGGGGGAAGAUUGCACAAUGGGUGGAAGGCUGAUGCAGGAACGCUGUGGGCGGGAUGACUGUCUUCGGGUUGGAAACCGCUUUCGCUCGUGACGAAGCUUUGUGUGACGGUAGUGGGUAAAGAAGCACCGGCUAACUACGUG